CACCAGUUAGCCUAGUGGUAAAGGCUAUGGAUCACCAAUCCGGAGACGGCGGGUUCGAUUCCCGUUCUGGUCG
rnacentral:tRNA from 1 species